rnacentral:rRNA from 1 species
CGGGCGAGUAACACGAGGGUAACCUGCCCAGAAGUAGGGGAUAACACCUGGAAACAGAUGCUAAUACCGUAUAACAGAGAAAACCGCAUGGUUUUCUUUUAAAAGAUGGCUCUGCUAUCAAUUUUGGAUGGACCCGCGGCGUAUUAUCUAGUUGGUGAGGUAAAGGCUCACCAAGGCAGUGAUACGUAGCCGACCUGAGAGGGUAAUCGGCCACAUUGGGACUGAGACACGGCCCAGACUCCUACGGGAGGCAGCAGUAGGGAAUCUUCCACAAUGGACGCAAGUCUGAUGGAGCAACGCCGCGUGAGUGAAGAAGGGUUUCGGCUCGUAAAGCUCUGUUGUUAAAGAAGAACGUGGGUAAGAGUAACUGUUUACCCAGUGACGGUAUUUAACCAGAAAGCCACGGCUAACUACGUGCCAGCAGCCGCGGUAAUACGUAGGUGGCAAGCGUUAUCCGGAUUUAUUGGGCGUAAAGCGAGCGCAGGCGGUCUUUUAAGUCUAAUGUGAAAGCCUUCGGCUCAACCGAAGAAGUGCAUGGAAACUGGGAGACU